GAUGAACGCUGGCGGCGUGCCUAAUACAUGCAAGUCGAGCGAACAGACGAGGAGCUUGCUCCUCUGACGUUAGCGGCGGACGGGUGAGUAACACGUGGAUAACCUACCUAUAAGACUGGGAUAACUUCGGGAAACCGGAGCUAAUACCGGAUAAUAUAUUGAACCGCAUGGUUCAAUAGUGAAAGACGGUUUUGCUGUCACUUAUAGAUGGAUCCGCGCCGCAUUAGCUAGUUGGUAAGGUAACGGCUUACCAAGGCAACGAUGCGUAGCCGACCUGAGAGGGUGAUCGGCCACACUGGAACUGAGACACGGUCCAGACUCCUACGGGAGGCAGCAGUAGGGAAUCUUCCGCAAUGGGCGGAAGCCUGACGGAGCAACGCCGCGUGAGUGAUGAAGGUCUUCGGAUCGUAAAACUCUGUUAUUAGGGAAGAACAAAUGUGUAAGUAACUAUGCACGUCUUGACGGUACCUAAUCAGAAAGCCACGGCUAACUACGUG
rnacentral:rRNA from 1 species